GGGCUCAUCUUGUCCGGAUGGGCGCCUCAGAAGAUGAUCCUCCAGCACAGCUCCCUGCUAGCAUUCGUGACGCACUGCGGCUGGAAUUCCGUGCUCGAGUGCCUCUACCUGGGCGCCAAGCGGAUGCUAUGCUGGCCGUUCGGCACGGACCAGACCCAGAACGCUCGAUUCAUCGAGGAGGAGCUCAAGGCCGGGGUGGAGCUGGAGAAAGAUCCCAGUGGAAUCGUGCACAGCAGCGAGAUCCAAACCAAGAUCGAGGAGGUGGCGACGCUGGAGGCCAGGAACUCCUCUGGCAAUGCUGCUACUGCUACAGAGCUCGUGAGAAACGCGAAGAGCUCCUCCAUAAACCUCCAAGCAUUUGCAGGUAGAGUGCGGGCCUACGUUUGACGUGACAUUGGCGUGGCUAGGCGAUCUGAAAUCUUGGGCUAGGGUUUGUACAAGAUCACAAGAUGUUUGUAAAGGUCUGGCCUUGUUAUUGUAUAAGAUGAGCUUGCUGAUUGUGUUGUCCAAAGAUUUAGAUCAUGAGCUGUUUUGGAAACUUUCAGACACGUCAAGGUCACCAGCAUUUAAAAAUCCAACCUGGAUAAAUGCUUCUUUUGUAGUUGUCGUUGUUGUUUUGUUCGUAGGCCCAUAGGCUGUUUUUUGUGGUGGUGGAUAUGUUCGCUCUCGAGUAGAUCAGAGGCUUGCUGAAAUCUGGAAACUCUUGCCGAAAACCUAAUGCACUGACUGCUGAAAUUUGGGGAGUCUCAACGUCGCUCUAGCGCCCCAACACUCCAUACUCACCUUUUUAUAACUGGUCUGUGGCAGAAUUUUCCUGGUUUGGUAGGGUGACGGCAGGCAAGGAUAUCGUUGUGGUGGCUUCUCUCUCCCAAAACCACAAGAAUAUGGUGAGUAUUGUAUUGUAUUAUGAGUUAGAAUUGUGCAUGGCUGGUUCAAAUCGGUGGGACAGAGGGAUGAACCUCAGCAAAUCGUAACAGCAAGAUGCUUGAUAAUAAUACUUGUCAUUGCUCCUUUGUUACUCCAGUUUUGUCCCAUCGUCUGGCAUGGGAUCAAAUGUUGUCAAUUGUUUGAGAUUUCCUUGAUGCGACUGUGAAUAAACUUGCAUUCACCAACCUCAUGCUUCAAGAUAGGUGUUCCUCGCUCCUUUGCCCCGUUCAAACACAAAGCCAUGUCACUUGCUGGUUAUAGCGGUAAACGUGACAAUGGCGUAAUCAAAGAAGCAAGCUCGUCUCUCUUCUUUCGACAAGUCAAGCUGCAACACAGUUCUCCCAAGUUGAAAACGAACGAGGCGCAUUUAGGUGACCCGAUUCAUUCGCAAAGUGGACGGCGCGUUCUUUGGAGCUCGAAGCUUCUAGGAAAAACGUAUGAAUCCAAUAAGAUUCAUACAUACAAAGUCAUACGUGUCAAAGAGCCCACAUCUAUACGUGUCAAACGAUGCCUAGAACAACUCACAACCAAAAACAUACAAAAGAGACUCAAAACCCAUGGAGAUUUCCAAGUAGAGAGAUGGCUCCAAUGGUAGUAUCAAGCAACAACGGCGAUAACGGUAAGAGGUCGCAUCCCCCACACUUGGUGUUCCUCCCGUUCAAAGACAAAGGCCACAUUGCGCCGUCAAUGAUCCUCGCCAACAAGCUCGCCAUUCUUCACGGCAUUUCCAUCACUAUGAUCUUUGUGUCCGAGAAAGAAUUGGAAUCCUCGCCAUCGCCGGCGAGCCCCCAGAUCAAAUUCGUGGUGCUCGACACGCAGGGAGGAACAAGGAGUAAGUCCGAGGCUCUCACCGCAAAACUGGACGAGCUCAAGCGUUCGGCCUCGCCACCCAUCGCAAUUCUGGUGGAUAUCAUAGUGAUGUGGAGUGUUGACGCGAUCGAACGUAGCAAGCUCCCCAAGUUCUCGCUCUACACUGCUAGCUGCUCGUAUUUGUCCGUCAUGCUGGGGAUUAGAGCUGAGCUGCCGGAACCCCAGAUCGAUGAGUCCCGGGCGGGGUUCCAGCCAAGGAUCGACGAUCCCGAGAUGCCGGAUUUUGGAUCCCACGAUUGGAAACGCGACCUCGGGGAAGUGCAGGGAGUGCUUGUGAAUUCGUGCGAAGAGCUCGAGCGCCAAGCCAUGGAGGAGCUGAUUAGAGCCCGGCCCCGCAUCCCGCCAGUUCUUCCCGUCGGCCCCUUGCUAGCGAUCGAUGCCGAUUCGCCCAAUCCCAAGGCAGUGGGGCAUGAACCAUCGCCACCCAAUGCCGAGGCGUGCAAGCAGUGGCUGGACGAGCAGGAGCCCUCGUCGGUGAUCUUCGUCUCGUUUGGCAGCAGGACGUUUCUGGGCGAGGAGCAAAUCCGCGAGCUCGCGACUGGAUUGGAAGCCAGCAAGCGGCCAUUCCUGUGGGUUCUUCCAGUCCCUCCACACUGGGCCGAUGGCACCAAGGAAUACCUGGAUCAUGUUCUUCCCGAUGGAUUCCUGGCGAGAAAUCAAGGCGGGCUCAUCCUGUCUGGAUGGGCGCCUCAGAAGAUGAUCCUCCAGCACAGCUCCCUGCUAGCAUUCGUGACGCACUGCGGCUGGAAUUCCGUGCUCGAGUGCCUCUACCUGGGCGCCAAGCCGAUGCUAUGCUGGCCGUUCGGCGCGGACCAGCCCGAGAACGCUCGAUUCAUCGAGGAGGAGAUCAAGGCCGGGGUGGAGCUGGAGAAAGAUUGCGGUGGAAUCGUGCGC
rnacentral:lncRNA from 1 species